AGUGAACGCUGGCGGUAGGCCUAACACAUGCAAGUCGAACGGCAGCACAGUAAGAGCUUGCUCUUACGGGUGGCGAGUGGCGGACGGGUGAGGAAUACAUCGGAAUCUACUUUUUCGUGGGGGAUAACGUAGGGAAACUUACGCUAAUACCGCAUACGACCUACGGGUGAAAGCAGGGGAUCUUCGGACCUUGCGCGAUUGAAUGAGCCGAUGUCGGAUUAGCUAGUUGGCAGGGUAAAGGCCCACCAAGGCGACGAUCCGUAGCUGGUCUGAGAGGAUGAUCAGCCAACCUGGAACUGAGACACGGUCCAGACUCCUACGGGAGGCAGCAGUGGGGAAUAUUGGACAAUGGGCGCAAGCCUGAUCCAGCCAUACCGCGUGGGUGAAGAAGGCCUUCGGGUUUUAAAGCCCUUUUGUUGGGAAAGAAAAGCAGCAGGUUAAUACCCCGCUGUUCUGACGGUACCCAAAGAAUAAGCACCGGCUAACUUCGUG
rnacentral:rRNA from 1 species